UUUAAAUUUAGAGUUUGAUCCUGGCUCAGGACGAACGCUGGCGGCGUGCUUAACACAUGCAAGUCGAGCGAUGAAGCUUCCUUCGGGAAGUGGAUUAGCGGCGGACGGGUGAGUAACACGUGGGUAACCUGCCUCAAAGUGGGGGAUAGCCUUCCGAAAGGAAGAUUAAUACCGCAUAAUAUAAGAGAAUUGCAUGAUUUUCUUAUCAAAGAUUUAUUGCUUUGAGAUGGACCCGCGGCGCAUUAGCUAGUUGGUAAGGUAACGGCUUACCAAGGCAACGAUGCGUAGCCGACCUGAGAGGGUGAUCGGCCACAUUGGAACUGAGACAC
rnacentral:rRNA from 1 species